AAUGUACUCCCUCCGUCCUAAAUUUUUUGUCUUACAUUUGUCUAGAUACAGAUGUAUCAAGUCAUGUUUUAGUAUUAGAUACAUCCGUAUUUAGACAAAUCUAAGACAAGAAUUUUGGGACGGAGGGAGUAUAAU
rnacentral:pre_miRNA from 1 species